rnacentral:misc_RNA from 1 species
GUAAAUUACAGGUCAUUAGUUGGGCUUUUCACUAAAAUGGCUCUAACGGGUAAGCUAGAAGCUGAAGUAGAGGUCAAAGUAGCCGCCGAUAAGGCCUAUGGCAUCUUUAGGAGCCAAACGCACCAACUUCCCAACAUCGCCUCUGACAUGAUACACAAAGCUGAGAUUCAUGAAGGUGAUUGGGAAACUCCUGGCUCCAUCAAGUCCUGGAAUUAUACCAUAGAGGAUAAUGUUCUGAGUCUGAAGGAGACGAUAGAGAAAAUAGACGAGGAAAACAAGUCUAUCACCUAUAAAGUUGUGGAUGGAGAUGUAUUGAAGCUUUACAAGAGCAUGAAAGUCACCAUUCAGGUAACUGCUAAGAAUGAUGGAAGCAGCUUGAUGAAAGUUAUCAUAGAUUAUGAGAAGCUAAAGGAGGAUUCUCCUGAUCCACAUCCUUACUUGGAAUUUGCUGCCAAGGUCUUUAAGCAUAUCGAGACUCAUCUUCUCAAGGCCUAGCACAAAAUUAAUUAGUUAAUUAAUUAAUCAAUGUGCUUGCAUGGACAUAUGUAGUAAUUGUAGUUGAGUUGAUAAUAGCCUACUUGUAUGUACUUGAAUAAGGAAAGCAUCCCUGCCAGGCUCUUAUAAUGUCACUUGAUCUAUGUGCAGUAAUGAUAAUCAUUAUAUUAUGUUUGUUUAAUAUAUAUA